ACAACAUUCGAACCGUUGGUCUACCGAGAAAUAUCACCCGCUCGGUGGAAGAUCUUGCCUUCGUCGU
rnacentral:pre_miRNA from 1 species